GUUGAAACGCCGUUUUUCUUACGGUCUCCGAAGUUAAGCAAAGUCGGGGUUGGUCAGUACCAAGAUGGGUGAUCGCUUUGGAAUACCAGGAGCUGUAAG